AUAAUGUUCGGAUGUUUGGGAGCUUUUAUCAAUGGAGGGUCACUUCCUUGGUAUUCGUUUCUUUUCGGGAAAUUUGUCAACAAACUUGCUCUAGGACAAGACCAGGACAAAAAUGAGAUGAUGAAGGAAGUGGAUAAGAUAUGUCUACUUAUGACUGGAUUGGCUGUCCUAGUUUCGCUCGGAGCUUACUUAGGUAACAAAAACGCGCUUUUUUUUUUUUUUUGGUUCUCAUUUAUUAUCCUAUCUAUCGAGUUUCUAAUAAUUACCAAAAAAAUAAAUUUGGCUGAUGGACAGAGAUUACUUGUUGGAGGAUGGUGGGUGAAAGAUCGGCUCAUAGGAUAAGAACAGAGUAUUUACGAGGUGUUCUGAGACAGGACAUUGGAUUUUUCGACACGGAAAUAAGUACUAGUGACAUCAUGCAUGGAAUCUCUAGUGAUGUUGCUCAAAUUCAAGAAAUGAUGGCAGAUAAGGUAAAAUCCUAGUUCAUUUUUUUAUUUUAUUUUUCUGUAACAACAAAUUUGACAUAGUUAAUUAUAAUGCAGAUGGCACAUUUUAUUCAUCAUAUAUUUACCUUCAUAUGCGGGUACAUAGUCGGUUUCUUGAAAUCGCCAAAGGUGUCGUUAGCAGUGUUUGCAGUGACCCCAUUAACAAUGUUUUGUGGCAUUGCCUAUAAGGCUAUAUAUGGUGGCCUAGCUGCAAAAGAAGAGGUCAGAAUUAAUACAAACACACGCACACACACACACACAAAAUACGUAAAAAAGUUGUGAUCUAUAACUUGCAUUUUUAUGAACAGGGCUCUUACAGGAAUGCUGGUGGCAUUGCAGAACAAGCCAUAAGUUCAAUCAGAACCGUGAUUUCUUUCGUAGCGGAAGAUACUUUAGCCG
rnacentral:lncRNA from 1 species